rnacentral:piRNA from 1 species
UGUUAAGCCAGCAGGUGCAUAAAGCA